GGUGCGGACCGACCAAACCCGCUGCUUGUCCUUGCGCUCGGGUGGUCAAAGCGAAAGCCGUAAACCCUAUCUUCUUCCGUUCCCUCCGUCGCCGGCGACGACGGCGUGCGCGCAAGCCCAGCCCUCCGCCGCUCCCCGCUCCUCCGGUUGCUUAAGGAAGGAUGAGUAGGCGCUGGAGCCGGACUAUUUACGUCGGGAACCUCCCCGGGGAUAUCCGGGAGAGGGAGGUGGAAGAUCUAUUCUACAAGUAUGGAAAGAUAGUCGAAAUUGACUUGAAGGUCCCCCCAAGGCCGCCUGGCUUUGCUUUCGUGGAGUUUGAAGAUCCCCGUGAUGCUGAAGAUGCGAUUCAUGGUCGAGAUGGCUAUAACUUUGAUGGGAACCGGCUGAGGGUUGAACUUGCACAUGGAGGGAGGGCUAACUCUUCAUCCAUCCCAAACAGCUUUGGUGGUGGUGGUGGUGGAGGACGCCGUGGUGGUGUCUCUAGGCACACGGAAUAUCGUGUUCUGGUUACUGGACUACCUUCUUCUGCAUCAUGGCAGGAUCUGAAGGACCAUAUGAGAAAGGCUGGUGAUGUUUGUUUCUCUGAGGUGUAUCGUGAGGGUGGUGGUACAAUAGGAAUUGUUGAUUAUACAAACUAUGAUGAUAUGAAGUACGCUAUAAGGAAGCUUGAUGAUACUGAAUUUAAAAACGCCUUCUCUCGGGCGCCUAUAAGGGUGAAGGAGUAUGCUGGCAAAAACAGCCGCUCCUAUUCACGAAGCCGCAGCAGAAGCCGAAGUCGCAGCUACAGCAGAAGCAGGAGUCCAAGCAAGUCUCCAAAGAAAAAACCUUCACGCCGUUCAGCGUCAAGAUCUCGGUCGAGAUCAGUGUCUUCUCAUUCACCAGCAGAGUCAAAGGGACGUUCUCCAUCAAGAUGAGGGAUUGUGCGGCGAUCUAGGGAUUGCGUAUUAGGAAAUUCAGGAUGGGGAUUUGGUCAGUUUGCACCAGCUCCUUUGGUUGACCGAGAGCUUGGGCAUAGAGGAUUGUUUUGGAACUCUCGAAGUAGCUUAAGGCUCGAUGGUUUGGACCAUGACGGCUCUAUGACUUGCUUGGAUUUGAGUACGCGAGGAUUGAACUCCCCUGGCUCCUUCACAGGCUUCAAAUUGGAGGGCUGUUCUAGCGUAUAUAUGCUCAAACUUAACACAAAACACUUAUAAUACUGCACGUUUUGACAUCUGGAACUGAUUGCUUUUAAUUUCAUUGAGCUUGUUUCAUUUGCUUUUGGCCAUUUCAAUGCUUGGGAGGCACCGAGGUUCUUGGAAUCAAGCUGUUAAGGCUCCAUUCUGGAUAUUGAAUUCUGUUGUUUCUGGACCUUUUUGCAGAUCACCAGCGAAAUCCAUGUCCCCUAAUGCAUCUCCUGCCAAUGGUGUAGCAGCAAGCCCAAAGAAACGUAGCCCAAGCAGGAGCCCAUCACGUUCCCGAUCUCCUGAUGCCAAAUCAGAAUAAAGCUCAUGCGCAGCUCCAGGCGGUGGGAGAAUAGAGGCAUGGUCUUCAAAUAACUUGCAUAUUUGUUGUCCUCGUCAACUUCUGAAUCCUAUGUCAAAGUACUUUCCACAUGUUCCGUUAUUCUAGGUUCAUGCAUGAUAUUUCUGUGAACUUAUUUUGUUGGAUUUUUGAGAUUUAUUUACUUUCUUAAUGAUGAGCAUUUACUUAGGUUAUGUAAUGGUAUUGGUCGUACUGGAAUACAUUUGGAAACUUUUUAUUGUGUAAUGCUGAAAAUGCAAAUUUACGAUAA